rnacentral:rRNA from 1 species
GUGCAAGUCGGACGGUAGCACAGAGGAGCUUGCUCCUCGGGUGACGAGUGGCGGACGGGUGAGUAAUGUCUGGGGAUCUGCCCGAUAGAGGGGGAUAACCACUGGAAACGGGGGCUAAUACCGCAUAACGUCGCAAGACCAAAGAGGGGGACCUUCGGGCCUCUCACUAUCGGAUGAACCCAGAUGGGAUUAGCUAGUAGGCGGGGUAACGGCCCACCUAGGCGACGAUCCCUAGCUGGUCUGAGAGGAUGACCAGCCACACUGGAACUGAGACACGGUCCAGACUCCUACGGGAGGCAGCAGUGGGGAAUAUUGCACAAUGGGCGCAAGCCUGAUGCACCCAUGCCGCGUGUAUGAAGAAGGCCUUCGGGUUGUAAAGUACUUUCAGCGGGGAGGAAGGCGAUGUGGUUAAUAACCGCGUCGAUUGACGUUACCCGCAAAAGAAGCACCGGCUAACUCCGUGCCAGCAGCCGCGGUAAUACAGAGGGUGCAAGCGUUAAUCAGAAUUACUGGGCGUAAAGCGCACGCAGGCGGUCUGUUAAGUCAGAUGUGAAAUCCCCGGGCUUAACCUGGGAACUGCAUUUGAAACUGGCAGGCUUGAGUCUCGUAGAGGGGGGUAGAAUUCCAGGUGUAGCGGUGAAAUGCGUAGAGAUCUGGAGGAAUACCGGUGGCGAAGGCGGCCCCCUGGACGAAGACUGACGCUCAGGUGCGAAAGCGUGGGGAGCAAACAGGAUUAGAUACCCUGGUAGUCCACGCCGUAAACGAUGUCGACUUGGAGGUUGUUCCCUUGAGGAGUGGCUUCCGGAGCUAACGCGUUAAGUCGACCGCCUGGGGAGUACGGCCGCAAGGUUAAAACUCAAAUGAAUUGACGGGGGCCCGCAUAAGCGGUGGAGCAUGUGGUUUAAUUCGAUGCAACGCGAAGAACCUUACCUACUCUUGACAUCCAGAGAAUUUAGCAGAGAUGCUUUGGUGCCUUCGGGAACCGUGAGACAGGUGCUGCAUGGCUGUCGUCAGCUCGUGUUGUGAAAUGUUGGGUUAAGUCCCGCAACGAGCGCAACCCUUAUCCUUUGUUGCCAGCGAUUCGGUCGGGAACUCAAAGGAGACUGCCGGUGAUAAACCGGAGGAAGGUGGGGAUGACGUCAAGUCAUCAUGGCCCUUACGAGUAGGGCUACACACGUGCUACAAUGGCGCAUACAAAGAGAAGCGACCUCGCGAGAGCAAGCGGACCUCAUAAAGUGCGUCGUAGUCCGGAUCGGAGUCUGCAACUCGACUCCGUGAAGUCGGAAUCGCUAGUAAUCGUGGAUCAGAAUGCCACGGUGAAUACGUUCCCGGGCCUUGUACACACCGCCCGUCACACCAUGGGAGUGGGUUGCAAAAGAAGUAGGUAGCUUAACCUUCGGGAGGGCGCUUG